UUUUCUCUGGGAUGUUUGCGAGCGGGCCAGUCCCCUGAGCCGAUAUUUCAUACCAACAGAAUGUGGUGUUUCAUUUUUUGUGUGCAUGCCCGGUCCGUCCGGGAAGCCUGAUAAUAAUGACGGCAUGUUCACCUUGAACCAAGGGUUCAAGGGUUACAGCCUGCAGCGGCAUCCCGGAGAUCUC
rfam:Tatumella ptyseos ATCC 33301 GTPT.assembly.050, whole genome shotgun sequence.